GGAUCCGGGAGGGAGCCAGGCGGGCCAUGGGGAGGGGCAGGGGCUUAGCCGCUGGCGAGUGAGGACCGGGUCGGGAGGAAGGGGUCACACCUGGAGUUCAGCCUCUUGGGUAGGGGCGGGAUACGUGGGGCGGCUCGAGGAGCUGCCAGGACUAGGGAGGGCUGCGGGACAAGACGGGGCGGGAUCUGGAUGACGUUUGCCCCUAAGACGCCGCGAGGAGGCCAGGCUUUGCAACCAUCUCCAUAAAGAAGGGCCUCUUUUGCCUACACACCGGCAGUGUCCUUCCCGCACUCAGAGGGCCUCUCUGGAGCCAGUUCCAGGCCACCCAUGGGCCUUGGCCCCGCCCCCUACUCAUGGCUGGCAGAUUCGUGGCCCCACCCAUCUCGAAGCCCCUCGGCCCAGGAACCCAGGGGAAGCUGCUGCCCUAGCAAUCCUGACCCGGACGACAGAUAUUACAACGGUGAGGAGUUCUC
rnacentral:sRNA from 1 species